rnacentral:rRNA from 1 species
CCCUUAGAUGUCCUGGGCCGCACGCGUGCUACACUGGUCCGGUCAACGAGUAUUUUCCUGUUUCGAAAGGAAUGGGUAAUCUUGAAUCCGGGCCGUGUUUGGGAUCGACGGUUGGAAUUUUCCGUCGUGAACGAGGAAUUCCUAGUACACGCGAGUCAUCAUCUCGCAUGGAUUACGUCCCUGCCCUUUGUACACACCGCCCGUCGCAUCUACCGAUGAGUUAUUCGAUAAAGUGGGUGGAGGUCAUUUCUUUUAGAGAUGGCCAAAGCCCCCUGAAUCUGAUCACUUAGAGGAAGAUGAAGUCGUAACA